rnacentral:rRNA from 1 species
AAAUUGAAGAGUUUGAUCAUGGCUCAGAUUGAACGCUGGCGGCAGGCCUAACACAUGCAAGUCGAACGGUAACAGGAAGAAGCUUGCUUCUUUGCUGACGAGUGGCGGACGGGUGAGUAAUGUCUGGGAAACUGCCUGAUGGAGGGGGAUAACUACUGGAAACGGUAGCUAAUACCGCAUAACGUCGCAAGACCAAAGAGGGGGACCUUCGGGCCUCUUGCCAUCGGAUGUGCCCAGAUGGGAUUAGCUAGUAGGUGGGGUAACGGCUCACCUAGGCGACGAUUCCUAGCUGGUCUGAGAGGAUGACCAGCCACACUGGAACUGAGACACGGUCCAGACUCCUACGGGAGGCAGCAGUGGGGAAUAUUGCACAAUGGGCGCAAGCCUGAUGCAGCCAUGCCGCGUGUAUGAAGAAGGCCUUCGGGUUGUAAAGUACUUUCAGCGGGGAGGAAGGGAGU